rnacentral:misc_RNA from 1 species
AUCAGAUGUCAUGUAAAUGUGAUACUCGCUAGUCAUGAAUGAGACUUGCUCAGCAUUCAAUCCUGUGAAAGUAAACAUCCCAAUUUGCUUGAUGAUAUGACUCCAAUCACCUGGAGUACCUCGAGCUUGCAUGGCAGCAUAGAGUUGCUGGCGCAUGCUAAUAAUUCUGUCAGCCAUUGCUUUCAGCUCAACAGUCCAUUCAUCAUACAUUUGUCUGUCCUUGAGUAUAGUGGCAACAAUAGACGCACCAUGAAUCGGCGGAUUUGAGUACAUUGGCCUUAUAACCAUCUUUAGCUGGCUUUCGACUUUGCUUGCAACAUCGCUAUCUUUGCAAACAAUGCUAAGGGCACCGACACGCUCUCCAUACAGUCCCAUGUUUUUGGCAUAACUCUGAGCUGCAAGACAUUCACCACCAUCAGCCACAAACAUGCGGACAGAUUGUGCAUCUGCAUCUAGUUUGCCACUGGCAAAACCCUGAUAAGCA